CGAAGCUACCAUCUGCUGGAUAAUAGCUGAACGCCUCUAAGUUAGAAUCCAUGCCAGAACGGGGCGAUUUUCUCCAGCACGUCGUACGAGGAUACGAAUAGGCUUCGGCCCCGGACCUUAGCAGGGCAUAACUCCUCUCUCGUAGAAGUCGGGAGAGGUAAUUGCCGGAUAGCAAUUUGACAGCGCGCUGGGAUGAAUCCUUUGCAGACGACUUAGACGUGUCACCGGGUCGUGUAAGCAGUCGAGUAGCCUUGUUGUUACGAGCUGCUGAGCGUAAGCCCGUUGUGACCUAGAUUUGU
rnacentral:ncRNA from 1 species